rnacentral:lncRNA from 1 species
UAUCUCAAACCUUGGAACAAAUCAUCUCCAAGAACCCCAACCACAUUCCAGUCCUCAGGCAGGUUUGCAGUUAAAAAUCACACAACUUGGGUGGCCUGGAAAACCUGAAGCUAAAAAUUCAAUAUGGUCCCAAGUUGGUUAUGCCCCAGGCAGAAGUAAAUGAGAAGAUUCUCUGGAGGAACACAUAAAAAUGUACCAAACACGGGGCGCCUGGGUGGCGCAGUCGGUUAAGCGUCGGACUUCAGCCAGGUCACGAUCUCGCGGUCCGUGAGUUCGAGCCCCGCGUCAGGCCCUGGGCUGAUGGCUCAGAGCCUGGAGCCUGUUUCCGAUUCUGUGUCUCCCUCUCUCUCUGCCCCUCCCCCGUUCAUGCUCUGUCUCUCUCUGUCCCAAAAAUAAAAAUAAACGUUGAAAAAAAAAAAAAUUAAAAAAAAAAAAAUAAAAUGUACCAAACACUCUGGAAAAUCAGACUCAAUGAGCAAGAGACAACAAAAACAAAUCCAGGAAGAAUGCAGAUAUUAGAAUGAUCAGAAUCACAAUUUAUAACGAUGGAAAGGAUUAAUAUGAGGAAAGAGCAAACAACUACAUAGAAUGAUUAAGCAGCAGAUAGGAAAGUGAACCAAACAACUUGUAGAAAAAAACAAAAAAUAUAAAUGCAAUGGAUGGCUUUAAAGCAGAUUAGUCACAGCUGAAGAGAAAAUAAAAGGAUCAUGCAUAUAGCUAAGGAAGUACUAAGAGAAAACUGACAGCUUUCUAUGUUCAUAUUAAAAAAAGUCCUGUAUGGCCACGGCUGAAGCACCAGUGGCCAAAAUGAUGUUCAAUCUUUUGGUGACUUCUGAAUGGAGCAAGAACCACAAAAGGCAUUCCAAUGCAUCUUUCCACAUUUGCGGGAAGAUUAUGUCUUCCCCUCUUUCCACAGAGCUGAGAGAGAAGUAUGUUUGAUGUUCGAUCCAUGUCCAUCCAAAAGGAUGAUGAAGUUCAGGUUGUAGGAGGACACUACAAAGGCAAAUUGGCAAAGUAGCCCAGGUUUACGGGAAGAAAUAGGUCAUCUACGCUGAACAAGUACAGAGGGAGAGGGCGCACGGCACAACUGUCCACGUGGGCGUUCACCCCGGCCAGGUGGUUAUCACUAGACUCAACCUGGACAAGGACCUUGAACAGAAAGCCAAAUCUUGCCAAGUAGGAAAGGAAAAGGGCAAAUAUAAGGAAGAAACUAAUGAGAAAAUGAAGGAAUAAAGUAAUCUUAUAUAUGACUUUAAAUAAAUACUGUUAAAAAAUAAAAAAAAAAAACCUGUUAAAAUGAAAAAAAGUGUUGGGGCGCCUGGGUGGCUUGGUCGGUUAAGCGUCCGACUUCGGCUCAGGUCAUGAUCUCACGGUCCGUGGGUUCAAGCCCCGUGUCGGGCUCUGUGCUGACAGCUCAGAGCCUGGAGCCUGUUUCAGAUUCUGUGUCUCCCUCUCUCUCUGCCCCUCCCCUGUUCAUGCUGUUUCUCUCUGUCUCAAAAAUAAAUGUUAAAAAAAAAAAAAUUAAAAAAAAAAUGAAAAAAAGUGUUGAAAAGUUAUGUUAAAAAUUAAACUUGUUAGAAAAAGGAAAAAAAAAUGAUCUCUAAAGAGAAAAGUAUAAACGUGUAUUGAGAGACAUUCAAUAUGUUUGUCGACUGGAAGACUUAAUAUUAUAAAAAUAUCUAUUCUCUCCACAUUAACAUACAGAGAAUCAGUCCAACUGCAAUCAAAACCCAAGAGGUUUUCAAUUUUUGUUUAAGAACUUGAAAAACUGAGUCUAAAAUUUAAGUGAAGUUGUAAAGAUCAAGAAUUGCUAAGGAGAACAGUCAAAGGUCUUGAUUUGCCAAAUAUUAAGAUUUAUUAAAAAGUAUCAAAAUUAAGAGAGGAGGGAUAGACAAGUAGACCAGUGGAAAGGAGAGAGCCCAGAAACAGACUUGUUCAGAGAGGACAUGUGAUUUGUGCAGAGCUGUGGAGAAAGAACAAUUAAUGUUGGGACAAUAGUGCAUCCACAUGGAGAAAAAGGAAUGGACCCCAACCUCACACCAUACCCUCAAAGAAAUUCCUGGUAGAUUAAAGACCUAUGUGUGAAAAACAAAACCUGAAAGGAUUUAAAAAAGAAUAUGGAGGAAUUAUCUUCAUUACCUCUGGGCACAGAAGGAUUUCUUAAAGGAGACACAAAGGGAAGCAACCAUGAAGGAAAAGAUUGGUAACUUCUUUAAAAUCUCCUUGUUUAGCAAAAGAUGUAAUAAUAAGCACAUGAAAGACAAAUUACAGAGCACAAGAUAUUUGCAAAACAUAUACACAAUACCAGACCCGAUCCAGACCCACAAAGAACUCUUAGAAAUAGGAAAAAACCAAAGCCCAAUCAAACUAAGACAAGCAAAAAAAAAGCCCAGAGAAACUAACAGUGGGCAAAUGGGACCUAAAUGGGCAAAAGACUUGACAGAAAUUUCACAAAAAAAGUGAAGCAUGUAAAAGUUAGUAAAGUAUAGCUAGCUAUAUGAACUGUAUUUUUUAUUUUCUGUAUUCUGACAUCCAGGGCCUUGGGAGGGACUAUCCCUCCCAAGGUUUACCAAUUCCUACAGAUAGUGUAAAUCACUCGCCUGGUGUGCUUUUCAAAUACAAACCCGCCAAUCCAGAGCCCCAACACCCCAACCACCUCCUUGGGGUCACUAUCCACCUGUCCUAAUCUCCUGUGCCAGGUAAUCUCCUGACAAGAGACAACACCUAUAACCCAGAGCCCGCUGAAAUUAUUCAAACUAGCCAAUCCGAAACCCGCUUACCUUGCCCUGCCUGUUGCUUCCCGUGGAAACCACAGCAAAGACUCCUGCCUACCUGCUCUUUCUACGGCUGCCUUCUGACCGACCCUGGUGCAUUUCCCUGUGGCCGUGUGAGGCAAGAUGUACCUUUUCUCUUGGGUACUGUAACAAAGUAUCUUUUCAGUGGUAAUCACCUCCUGAUCUGUGGCAGUUACUAUACGUCAAAUUUUCUAUUAAUACUCUAUAUCGCAAAAUAACACCUUCAUCAGUAAUCAGAGAAAUGCAAAUUAAAAUCACAAGAUACCAUCACACUGACAACACUGGCAAAGAUUAUAAUGUUUGAUAUUGACACAAUAAAGUGUGGAUGAAUACAUCCAACCGGAAGACCAACAUAUUGCUGGUGUGGUGUAUAUAAUUAGAACUCUUUUUUUUUUUUGUUAGUAUCUUAAUUUCUUUUUGAGACAAAGAGAGGGAGACAGCAUGAGCAGGGGAGGGGCAGAGAGAGAGGGAGACACAGAAUCCGAAGACAGGCUCUGAGCUGUCAGCACAGAGUCCAAAGCGGGGCUCGAACUCACAAACCGCGAGAUCAUGACCUCAGCCGAAGUCAGACACCUACCGACCGAGCCACCCAGGCGCCCCUAGAACUCUUUUCAAAAACAGUGUGGCUUUAUCCAGUCAAGUUGAAAACAUGCUUACUCCUAGGUGCAUAUAUCCUGGAGAAACUCCUGUUUGUUUGCAGUACUGCGAUAGCAUACAUGUUCAAAAUAUUCGUAGCAGCACUGUUUUUAAUGGCAAAAAAUAGAGAACACCUCACAUAUUCACCAAUAACAAAGGAAAUACAAUGGGAUAUCAUACAGUUGUAAAACAAAACGAUUAUAAUUGUAUGCAACAAUGUGGGUGAGUCGCAGGAGUGUAAUACUGAGUGGAAAAUAAUCAUUGCAAGUCUUUACAGUAGGAUUCCAUUUACAGAAAGUUCAGGAAAAUAGAAAAUGAGGGGCCCCUGGGUGGCUCAGUCUGUUGAAAGUCUAACUCUUGAUUUUGGCUUAGGUCACGAUCUCAAGGUUUGAGGGUUUGAGCCCCGCUGAUAGCUCACAGUGCAGAGCCUGCUUGGGAUUCUCUCACUCCUUCUCUGCCCCUCUCCCACGCUCUGCCUCUCGUUCUCAAAAAUAAACAUUAAAGGGGGCGCCUGGGUGGCUCAGUUGGCUAAGCAUCCAACUUAGGCUCAGGUCGUGAUCUUGAGGUUCAUGAGUUCAAGCCCUGCAUCGGGCUCUGUGCUGUCAGCUUGAAGCCUGGAGCCUGCUUCGGAUUCUGUGUCUCCCUCUCUUUCUGCCCCUCCCCCACUCACUCUCUGUCUCUCUCUCUCUAAACAUUACAAAAAUUUUUUUACUUAAAAAAAAAAUAAACAUUGAAUAAAAAAAGAAAAUAGGAAAUGAAACAAUAAACCAUUUAAAAACAAACAUAUAGUGGUUACCCCUGAGGGAGUAAGGAAGGCAAUGGUAACGGAGAAGAGCAAAGGUGAUGCUGUCUUUUUUCUUAAACUUGGUGGUGGUCUGUGGUGCUCACUGUAAUAUUAUUUUUCAUAUCUUACAUGCAUUUUGUAAAUAUUCUUUUGUAGCUACUGAAUUCUUAAUAUAAACACUUCCCCAAAAAGUGGGUAUUAAGAUUAGUUUUAUAAUGGUGUGGGUCCAAGGGCAUACCGUCUUCACUGGUGUGGGGCUCUGUACCAGCGUCCUGAUCCACUUCCUCCAGUGUACCGUGCUCACUGUAUGGGCUGUCGCUGCCAAGUGCAAACAGAAAUUCACGUAAAGCCAAAGGAAGAAUUUCAAAAAUGAACUAGUGCUACUCUACGUAAAGAUGUAGGACUUUGGAAUGGCAAAAGAGUCAGUUACUGGAGAGCCUUUCCAUUAGACCCUGGAGCCUCCGAGGAUUAUCUGGUCUUAUGGGAGUCUAGGUCCUUCAUCUUUGGUCAUUCGUAUCCACAGAAGUUAAAGUUGGCUGAAUUCUAGCGGAGUGCGAUGAUUGUGCUACGGCGACACCAGUUUUUGUAAAUUCGUGUCACUAUUCCUUACUGCAUAUAAAUUGAUGGCUCUUUGAUUUCUGCUUUGAAUCGACUGUAGUAUCUUUCCCAUCUUCUGACACAUGUUCAUUUUAGAUUCGUGAGACUCACGAUUUUAUUCUUUUUAAAAACUUACCCUUUAACACUACCACACUCCUCAAAUAUGUGCUGGUGAAUGGGAUGCAUCUACCACAAAGAGAAACCUGACAUUGCUGUAAAAGCCCACUUAAGUUGCUGGUGUUGGCGAGAAAGAGUAACUGCUUUAUCACUGACUUUCUGUUUAAAAUGAGCGAUUGCCCGUGGAAACACUAUGAAUGGGAAAAGGACACAAUCAAGCACAGGUGACUGGCUGCAAGCCUCCUUAUUAGGGACUUUACCCUGUUUGUGGAAAAGUGGUGACCACAAAAGUUGUAGGAUACAACACAUCAGAUAAUACCGACCGGACCUCCACAUAUCGCUCUUUGAUAACAGGAGUAAGAGCAAAACUUACUGAUAUGGCCCUGAAUAUUUGGAAGUGCCAAGAUACUGGCUUUACAGUAAGUAUGACUCUGAAGAUAAAAUUAUGCAUCUCGCCAGGGCUGAGUUUUAUACAUUUAUCUUCCUAGAGCCAAGAUCAGUCAGUACCUUGCACAUAGUAAGUGCUCAAGUGAAUAUUUUUAAACUCGAAUUUCACGUGUAAAAUUACUGGCUACACCACAGAACUGGAAUCUAUCAUGAUUUGUUGUUAAUUUAGAAAGAAGUGCUUCUGGAAAUAGUUAAUCUUCAGUUUUCUUAAGGCAUAAGCCAAUCGUAAUGUGUUUUAAGCCCAUUAUUAUGGUUUAGGUGUACUUUCAGGUACUUAAGAUCUUUCAGCUAUCUACCUUCUACUUAAUCCCCGGUGAGGCAAUGGGAUGUGUCCUGAGGAGCGUCCAGAAUGGGUUUACAUAGGUCUCCUUCCAGCUGCUCCUGGAUCUGAGCUGCACAGAACAGUUUCUGAAGUGGGCUAGGAGGCAGCUGUUGAGUGGGAAGGGUCAUGUGGGCUUUGGAAUCAGACAGACCUGGGCUGCCUGCAGUUACAAUUAGUCAUUGGACAGGCUUCUUGGCCUCACUUUACUUGGUAGAGUGGUUAGUGUAUAAGGUGAUCACAUGCACCAAGGAGCUGGCACACAGUAGGAGUUCAAGGAUUAAAAUAAAUUUGCUUAAAACGACCAUUACUACUAUAAUUGGUUAGGAUAAUAUUUAUUAGUAAGAAUGGAUAUAAGAAUGAAAACAUAUUUGGUUGAGAGGGCUCCUUUAAAAUGAUAAACUUGAAAUACUUACAGCCCAAACUAUUUCAGAAUGAAACUGAAAUCUGUCAAUCAGUUAUCUUUGAUAUAAAAGUAAAAUUAGCACAGCUCUAUACGAUACGUUUCAAAACCACUAUUCUCUACAGAAGUUACAAUAGGGUGGAUAGAUCUUAAAGGAUGUCAUCCUUGAGGGAAAAGGGAAGGGAUGAAUAGGAAUUUCCCUAGUGAGAGGCCAUGCUGUCAUGGGUCUUAGUAUUCUCAUCUAAUCUAAAGAAGUGUUCCUGCUGCUUCUUUUUUUAAAAAAUUGGAAUCUUUGGCAACUUACAGUCAAUUCUUUUUCUUAAUUGAAUUGAUAUGUAUACUUCCAUGGUUUUUCCAGGGCAGGGGAAAGACUAAAAUGCUUGGACUUACCAGUAGUCAUCCCCAGCCAUACAUUUCUCAUAAACAGGGCCAUCCAGCUCUUUAGCAUCCGGGAAAAUAGUUUCAUGGUGGAUGAUGAUGGUUUUGACAAUUUCAUUCACAUGCGCCUGACAAGACACUUGAUCCUGUAUUUCUGGGACGGGCAUCAAUGUCGGGCCAAAACAAAUGGCCAGGUUAUAAGGGUCCAUCAUGUUCUCAUCGCUGUACUGUGAAAGGCUAUGAAAAAAAGAAAAGUUAUAAAAGGCGAGAGAGAAAAAACAAAACUGUUUUUUUUUUUAAAUGUUUGUUUAUUUUUGAGAAAGAGAAAGAGAGAGAGAGAGAGAGAGAGAGCGCGCGAACAUGAGCAGGGGAGGGGCAGAGAGAGAUGCAGACACAGAAUCCAAAGCAGGCUCUAGGCUGUAAGUGCAGACCCCAACGAGGAGUUUGAACCCAUGAACCACAAGACCUUGACCUGAGCCAAAGUCGGAUGCUUAACCGACUGAGCCACCCAGGUGCCCUGAAAACUGAUGUUUAAUAAAACACUUUAUAUUUUGAAAAUAGGGAUCCAAAGCAUUUUAUUUGGUUUUUGUUAUUAGAAUAAGAUGAUAUUCCAUACUACUUUAAGUUGGCUCAACAAAUUCCAAAGGAAGUAAAGCAACUUACAAACUUUCAACUAGAAAGAAACUGAAAGGGGAAUAUAAAUCCUACUUACUUAAUUAAGUGGCAUUUUUCAAAGCCACAAGAGUUUAAGAUAAUUUCUAUUCCAAUGGAGACCAGGAUCAAGUAAAUGAGUUUCAUUUGUAAAUACUAUGGUCAGGCUCUAAAUGCUACUCAAGUAAAUCUGGGAAGGUCAGUAGUGAGCUCCAUAAAAUUUGAUGGAUGUCGUCAAAAUUGUCCUCCCACUAAUCAAAAACAUCUCAGAUUUCAGUUUUUUCCCAUAAAUCUUGAGGAAAGCCUUGAGGAAAACAAAGCACCCUUUCUUUGUAACCACUGAAAGAAGGCAAACAACUCUGGGCUUUAUGAUGUGCUUUUGGGUAAGACCACCAACACUACCCUGUCAAUGUCAGAAGAGACACUGUUAAGUGCAAGAGAAGGGGAAAAGAAUCCCCAGUUCUCUCAUUCCUUUUAAAGCUGGCAAAUGACAAACUUUGGGGAGAUUUCUGGUUGCCUCAAACUAAUUUCUAAAUUCGACUCCAUGGGUAUCUGUGAGGUAUUUUCCACAAGGGCCUCAAAAUAAGUCUGCUCUUUUUCACUCUAACAUGUGCACAAAGUGUUGUUCUAGGGAGAAGCUAGAGAUGUUAUCUUUUUGUGAAGAAAAUGUCAAUCUUGAAAGGACAUAUAAAAUCCAGGUGAACAGAUGACAAAUGCAAGAAGGAAAAAAGAGACUCAGCCACAUUUGUGGGAUGGUGACAGACACAAAGACAUUGAAAUACCACAUGACCUGAUACUUUACCCUUUUUUGGAACUGAUAGCCUAGAAAGUCGAAAAUACAAAAGCAUUAUCUCCUCAGCUAACAUAUGUCUUUCCCUUCUGCCAUUUCUCAAGCAGACAGUCUUUAAAAAAAGUUCACAAUAAAGGGGACGGUCAUGUUACAGAUCAUCUGGAAAACGGAUGCACAGAGGACAAGUGAGAUUCAGAGUAAGAAUGGUCUAAUUUUCAAAAGACACAAGUAAGCUCAACAGGGAGAGUCACAAUUCAUCUUUCUGGGUCUUUCAUUUAGUGCUGGCUUGAAGAGCAAAAUCUUCAUAUAAAAAUGUGAUAUCCAGGUUUCAACUUCUCAAUUAAAAGAGAAUAGGUUAUUUCUUUUCUCAAAAUUCCUGUCCCACGCGUCCUAUCCUAGAGGUUGAGGCUGGUCUCUGCAUGAAGGCAGGUGUAGCAAGCCGGGGGCAUCUUUGGGCAGACAUGCUGAAAGCAAUGCCAGCCGGCUGACUCCUGGCACAUUUGCUGUUCUGUUGAGAUACAUGGUGAGUUCGAGUCGGGUUUUGAGAACUUUCUUUUAAAAAAGUUUUUUUAAAGUUUACUUAUUUAUUUUUGAGAAAGAGACUGAGAGGCGAGUGGGGAGGGGCAGAGAGAGAGGGAGAGAGAGAAAGAGAGAGAGAGAAAAUCCCUGGCAGGCUCUGCACUGUCAUCACGGAGCCUGAUGCAGGGGCUCGAACUCAUGAACCACGAGAUCGCGACCUAAGCCGAAAACAAGAGUUGGAUGCUUAACCAAAUGAACCACCCAGGCGCCCCUGGUUUUGAGAACUUUCUUGAUUUAUGGUCUGCUUUCCUAGUCUACUGUGGUUUUUUGGUUCAUGGUGGGUUUUGCUCAGGUGUGUCUGGAAAAUUCGGUGGGGACAGCAUGCAGAGGGCCAGCGGCAAUGCAAAAGGCACUUCAUACUGGGGGAAGUGAAGCAAUUAAAGGUGAAGACAGCAAGCCUCCAGAUUUUUGUUUUUUAUGAAUUUGAGGAUUUAAUACUAAUGAGGGAGUAAGAUUUACACACACACACACACACACACCCGACCCAAGGUCACUGGGGAUGGAUCAUGAACACCUUUGCUUCAACAAUUCCAUUUUCAGCAAUGCAGGUCAAAUUCCUGAAUUCAUAGAAAUUCAGGCUCCUGUCCACGUUUCCCUAUUUCCAGCUUCAUUAUAGCAACAGGGGUGCGUAUUUGAGUUGAGUGCCUUGGAUGUGAUUUGCCAUCAACUCUCUCGUUCAGGCCCCGAAGCCCACUGUCCAACAGGCUCUGGUUCAUGAAGCUCUCUUGAAUUUUUGUCUUAGGCUCUUCCAGAGCUUGUAAAUGACAGCAGCUUGUUGAGAUGUGACCGCCCCUUGCUUUUUGGUUUAAGCAGUCAAGAAUGCCUCCAGUUGGUUGUCUACAGAUGCAACAGACCUACGAAUCCCCCUCAUCUUUGCCAGAAAGGGGCAGAGCUCUUCAGGUGAUGCCUCCACAUAGAGUCGGUUCCGCAGCAGCAACUCCGUGAUGUCCUGGUGCCCGUGGAAAGCUUUCUAGGCAAGGCUGCUCAGCAGCCCGCUCAGAGGUUUGGAGCCCGCGAGCUUGCCUGCCAUAGUCAGCAAGCCUUCAGAUUUUUAAAGCUGCCUGGGUAACUAGGCUUAUUUAAAGGCAAAAUUUAUAGCCAUCUAUUUAACCUACACAUAGUGUAUAUCCAUCUCUCUAGAUACUGCUUAUUUCCAGUGGCGACUUCUGUACAAAUGGGUUCCUACUGUCACUUGUGCAUAUUUUACUUCCUUGCAAGCAUUUCCCCAUGAUACUUGGUUUCCAGGGUCAAUCCGACUGGGUAUGAUUUCAGAAAUGGUUAGCAGGAUUGUAGUAAGUCCUCAUGGCUUCUGAGAACUUUAAACGUCUAAUGAAGUAGAGAACAUAUCCUAAUUUUAGGAAGGGAGAAUCCGUGCCACAUGGAGAAGGCAUUUCCCUGAGCUUACUCCCCUUCGAUCAUUGAAUACCAAGGGGACUCUCAGAUAUGACUUGAGGAAGAUAGUCUUAUAAUGGGCCCCAUUUUUGUUAUUAUAAAGUAAUGCAAAUGAAAAUCCAGUUGCCUAAAUUAUAACAAUAAAGUUUCUUUGAAAAUAAGGCAGUGAUUAUCUUAAGGGUUCUGUGACAUUGUUUUAGAGACUUUUAGAAGUAUCUUCUUCUUGACGAGGUCUCAUUAUAUUGAAUUUGCAGACACUCUUUCUUGGAUCUGUAUAUAAUUUGCACCUAUAGUUGCACUCCUCCCUUGACUACAACAUCAAAAAUCACAGACAUUUUCUGCAGUGAGCAGGUGGGUUGCAUCAUUUUGACAAAAACAUUCAUGACAUUAGCUUUGGAUGGAAGUUGGAAAAACAUGUAUUUCACUGAACAAGUGUUCUUUUUAGUAAUAUUUGUAUAUUUUUGCACGUAAGGCCACAGUUUCUGCAUCUUUCAUCUAUCAUGCAAUGACCUUGAUCUGCUGAGGAAAAACAUAACUUUGGUCUACAUUUAAUCAUCUCCUCUUCGACUCUGCUGAUAAACGGGACCUAACGUACAUUUUACAGAAUCCAAGAACAAAAACAGAAUUCAGAGCAGUGCAAACGGAAUGGAAGACAGGCAUUUUGGCAGAGCAUUAGGGUACUUACUGAUUGAGGAAGGCAAAGAGGUACCUCAUCACGAUAAGGACGGACCUAGGCAAGGUCAGGAGGAGUUUGCGGAUGUGAAGCGCCCUCUCAUAGAGAUUAUCUAUUCCUACAGACAGAAGAGAACAUGGUCAGGAUCCUUUCAUCUGCUACAUUUAAAGUAGAACACUGAGUACCAAAUUUCAUAUCCGACCAUAAGCAAUCCUUUGGCCCUAGGUGGGACGUAACUGUAAUCAAGACAGUGAAUCCAUGAUCAGCUUGGGUGUAACA